rnacentral:lncRNA from 1 species
UAGACCUCCACAUAAUUCAAUCACGAACAUCCUUAAGCGAGCACCACCCUCGCUUCAAUAUUUCACUAGGAAACCGUAGAUCCAUUUCCGAUAUAUAUGAGCAAAUUCUAUGAUUUUUAACAGUUGUGAUCGAAAACCAAAGCAUUCAAUCAAGACAACAGAAGUAUUUCCUUAGUAUCUCUCAGAAAUUCUAUUACGAUGCCACCAGAAGCAAUUGCGAUUCAUGGUGCGACGUUGGGGUUACAUGAUCCCAUUGAUGUUGGUGGAGGCAACAACGGUGACAGACUGACAGUAGAAAUUGGUAGGUGGUUAGGUUUCGAUUUGGUUUUGAUUUUGCUUUGCGGUGGUUUCUUGUAUGGGGAGAUGUGUGACAAUGGUGGUCCGAGUUGUCAUGGCCGCCAGCCUAAUGACCAUGGUGAGGUGGUGAUUUCUUUUUUGUGAUGUUAAGUUUUGAUCUUGUUUAGGAAGUAUUUAUAAACAAUUUAAAUUAUAAACAACUAGAAAUAAAU